CACCUGGGGUUCUGCUCCUUCCCCGCCGCCACCCCGCGCUCCCCGGGUCACCCCCGGGCGGGAGCGGCGUCCAGGUGCGCGGGGCGGAGCUGUGGCUUGACCCGCCCCCGCGGCACCCGAGGCGGGACUGGUGUCUGCUGCCGCGGCCCCGCGACGACGAGCAGCCCGGAGUCGGUUCCUUUCUACUCCGCGCCGCGUCCCAUCUCUGCCACCAUGUCUCUCUGCCGGGCCACUUCGCUGGCGCUGGCCUCCCGCCUGAGCAGGGCUCCCGCAGCCGCCAGCCGCCUCAAGCAGCGUGCGCCUCCUCGCCAGAUGUCAUCUGGGAGUGUUCCUGGCUCUUCUGGAGACAGGAUGAUGAUCUAUCUCCUUGCUGGUGUUGCAGCUUUUGGUGGUUUAUUUUAUGCCUACAGAGUAGUCAAUUCAUCCCACAGCAAGUUUAUCAAACAUACAAAUAUUCUUCAUGAGAGAGCAGAGGGGCAGAAGAACAAUCCUUGGUCAAGGAAGGAAGGUGAUGGAGAAGAGACAGAUGAAGUCACUGAAGCAGAGGCUGAGGAAGAGGCUGAUACAGCAGCUGCUGUUGAACCUGCAGCACAGGAUGAGAGUGCUGGACCCACAGCACAGGAUGACACUUCCUGGGUAUCUGCAGAAGCUAAAGGGGAAAAUGGCUUACUGGCUCCAGAGGUAUCCCAUGCUAUGGAGGAAGCACAGCAGGAAGCUGCUGCUAAUUCAGAAGCUGCUGCUAAUUUGGAACUUGCUGCUAAUUCAGAAGCUGCUGCAGUUGAAGGUUAAUUUAUGAAUGUGGUUUUUGAGUGUGUGUGUUGUGGGUUCUAAAGCUUUUCCUCUUACAGACCAUUAAGAAUGAGCAGCAGUGUUCCUAAUGGAGUUUGUCCUGCAGUGAAAACUAAUCCAGGCAUUAACUUGACAUAACAUGAGCAUAAGUUUCUGAGGAGAAGACAAUGGAAGAAGUUGCUAAAGAGCUCUAAAGGUACACAGCACAGUUACAGCAUGUGUAAGCAGUGUGGACACCUCUGGAAAGUUUAAUGCAAAUAUUUGUGGCAAUCAACCAGCUGAUUCCUGUGUGAGACCUCAUACUCUUCCUUGAAGACAUAAAAGAAACUGUGCAGUUUGUCCUACUACACACUGGUUGUUAUGGCCAGUAUUCAAUGCUGCAAGAGAUGAUUUAUGUUGCUUAGAGAAACACUUCUGUGAUUAACAUCUCUGCUGUAGAAAGUAGCAUCCAGUCAAGCCACUCAGCAUGUCCUAAAUAAAUGUGCUAAGAGAAGCAGUAGACUUAACUAAGCCAUGUCCGAUGAAUUUUGUUGUCUUGGUAUGUACAUUGAUUUCUUACUUUUGGUCUGCACUGUUGUACAUAGUUAUACCUUUGUAACAUUCCAUGCUAAAAUGUAAGCAAUAGGAUUUAAAAUCAAGUCAAAAUAUUAUCAAAGUACCUGUUAGCAUUUUUAAAUUGGAUUACAGGGAAAAUAACAACGUGUUUGCUCCUGAGUUUGGAUUUGUGAUUGUAAGCAUAGGACAUCUGGCUGCACAUGACCUAAUUUUCCUGCUGCAUAAACAUUUCAGAUGCUACCAUUCCUUGCAUAACAACAUCCAGGAGUAAACAUUUUAAGACUCCUGCUUUGGGAAGAAAACCUGUUCACAAGUAGUAGCAUUAGGUACUUUAUGGCAUGACAAUCAAAAUAGCACUGGUUAGUGUUGUCAUGUAUCCAAGUGGUGGCUCCUGCCUUGGGUGUGAUGGGCUCUGCUCCUCCCAAAUCUCAUUCAGCUUGCUGUGGUCUUUCUGUGUUGCUCUCUCUUGGCAGUGGCAUGUAGUGGUAGUGUAACAGCACAAGGGUUUGGUAUAAACCUUCAAACUGGUAUAAAUCACAAGCCUUUUAGGCCAUGGCAAAGCCUGUCUCACAGAGAGAGCAAAAUCCUGUGAAGGGCUAUGCAACAGGUAUUCUUAGGGACUAAGAAAGAACUGAAUAGCUAAAUAACCUUGUUUUCUCAGUAUUGGCUUUAUAAAAAAUACAUUUAUUAUGAAUAACAUUUGUAUGCCACUGUGCUCCCAACCCUCCACUGUGCUAUAUGCACAACCGUGCACCUAAGACAAAAUACUGAGACCCCAUUGCAACCAUCACAGAAUGGUAAUGAUUCUAAACCAGAGCCAUAUAAGGUAUAUUAUGUACUACUUAUAUAGAAAGUAUGUUUCAUAAGGUGUGUCUGACUCUUCUCAAGCACAAGUUUGGAAAAUACUGAAAGGAAAAUUACAGCAUUAUGACAUUCCUACCUAUGGCACAAAGCAACACUUGCUUCUUCCCCCAUAAUAAAGCAAAUUAUAAUAGUAUUCCAACAAAAAUAUACCCUUUUGCUCCUGGACCUACUUAGGAAUAACUGGAAUAAUGCAGAGGCAAAAGCAAGCUCCUGAGCAAGAAGACAAACCACAGCCUUCUGCUUAAAGGAUAAAGCCUCUGUGAUUAAAAGCAAUUUUUGUAGACAAGCUACUGGAAUAAAAAUCUCAGACUGAUACUUUGUUGGAGUCUAUUUAUCAUGUAGAUUAAACAUGCUGUGAUGAAUCUAUGCACUUAAAUGUACUGUUUCUUCAUUUUCACUAAUUCCUAGUAAAAGAAGUUGUUUUAACUGCAUCUAACAGUAGGCUUUCUGAAAUUUUUAGCUUUUCUGAAUGGCUCUUUAUCUCUGGAACUGCUCUGGUACACAGCAAAAUAUGUUAUCCCUCUGGAACAGCUGCCUGAAUGACUGAAUCACAAACUGUGGUUUCCAAAGCUUUUCAUCCUUUCAAUUUCAAAAAAAUGUGAGAGUCCCAAAACAAUCUGUACAUGUGCUUUAUGCUGGACUUACUCUUUAUUUGCUUAUGUUUUGUUCA